GAAAUUGCUUUUAAAAAAUAAUUUAAAAAUAGAAGGACAUAAAUCUACAACAUGAGCUAUCUUCAAAAAAAUAAUAAGAGAUCACGUUAGAGUAGACGAUUAAAAUUACUUGUUGGAAUGUAAAAUUCAUAUCUAGAGAUGAAAGCUAGCGUGGGUUUCUUUGUGCUCAAUAAAAUAAUUAUUAUUGUCUUACAAUAAUAUUACAAUGAUAUUAAUUUACAAUCAUAUAGAUCAUGAAAUUUUUUACUCAACAUCUUCAUGUCUCUCUUUAACAUUGAACAUUCUCCUGUGAACUCUUUUCUUUAUCUUGAUCUCUGACUCUUUCAAGCCUUUCCAAAGUCCAAAUGAUGAAUUGGGACAUGUAUGUUAUUGUACAAUGCACUACAGCAAUAACACCAACGGCAUAAAUAUUACCUCUUACAAAGAUCCAAAUCUUUUCUUGCAAAAACCACUUGCUUUUGAACUUGCUCACUCGAUCUUAAGGAUGUAUGAACCUCAUUUGAUGUAGGGGGGAGUAUAUAGAUUCUUUUUACAUAAUUUUUUCAACUGAUGAAUGAACAUGGUACAUACACCACUUUAAACAAUAUUUGGAUUUUUCACCUCAUGUUUGUUAGUUGUGAACUUGUUAUAUCCAUCACUUUCAUCAUAGCUGGAAUAAGCAAACCUAAUCAAAAACUCAAAUCGAGUAUUCACAAAAUUUAAGGGAUUGAAUGAAAAUGUAAACUUAUUACUAAUAUGAUUGAAAUCAAUUUUUUAAAUUAGCGUAAAAUUAGGAAAAUUAUGGCAACUUAGAAUCAAGGCCUUUUAUCAUGAAGCAAACAAUAGUAGCAAUCUGAGAAUGCUAUUUUUCUUUCUUGCCCUUCUAUAUCAAGCACUUGAAUCCAACAAACACCAUUUUUCACAGCAACUUGAAAUCAAAUAUAGAGCAAAGUUAGUGAUUAAAGAUGUUAUUUUUGUUAGACAGUUAGGGACCAAAAUCCACGGCUAGUAGGUUAAACUGUUAAGAAAAUCUGAAAACAAAUUACAAUCAAAAUCGCAUAGAAAAAUAAUCAAUAUAUACAAUGAUAGAAUUUUCAAGAAACGAUGAAGAAUAUAGAUAGGAAAGAAUAUAGAGAAAGAGUUUUGUAAAAAUAUAUUGAAUAUGAAGCCCAUAAGUCUUCGAUGUAGGAUGAAAUAGAUGGAAAACAAAUAUCUUGUCAAUUGCAAAUGGAAUCAUGAAAUUAAAUUAAAUUUAGUGGUUUGUUUCACAUAAGGCUCUAAAAGGAUGGAUAGUCAAGAAGAUAGAGAAGGAGUGGAGAAGGGAGUACAAACAAAAAGAAGUAGUCAAGAAGAUGAACUUGAAUAGAUACAGUGGUCUAACAUUAAUAUAGUGUUAGUAAAAAGUUUAAUAGAGUGUUUAUAAUAUAUAAAAUGGAGCUUUUAUUGAUACUUGCAUGUUUGCUUUGAAAACAUGCAUGCUCGUGACCUUGAGCCAUGUGCUGUAGUUAGUAGCUCAAGCAUGGAUAAUUGGAAAUUCAAAAUGCAAAGAAUUUAAAAGGCUAUAAUGUAUUAUGGUUAACAACAUAUUUUAGUAAAUGCCACCGAAUUAAUAAGGUUUGAUUCCAAAAAAAAAUUCAAAUUCAAAUUCAAAUUCAAACAGCCAAAUACUUUGAAAUUCAAAUAGUGGAAUUUUGAAGGGAUUUUUUAGGGUUAGCACUAAGAACAAUUAAUGCAUUGGUUUUAGAGGGAAAUUUUUAGGGUUAAAUGUUUGCAAACCUAAUAACAUUAAGGAAUAAGGGAGGGAUUCCAAAGAAAUCAUCUCAAUCACAUCAAGUAUAGAACAUCACUCAACCCACAAAUAUGUACAGCAUUGGCUAGCAAAAUAUAUUUAAAAUAGAAAAGGUAAAGAAGUGGAGAAAAAAGUAUAGUAAUAACAAAAUAACCCAUAAAUAUUUGACAUAACUUGUCGUUGAUUCUGUCAUGCAUUCCUUUGAAUUAUAAUCAUAAAGUAUUCUCCAAGGAUGAAGUAAUUACCCAAUAACAUUUAAUAAUGAACAAAUUAUAGGGAUUUAAGAAUCCAAAAUACUAAGUAAAUGAUUCAAAAGGAAUCCCUGAGUCUGGGCCAUUCAACUCAACGUGAAAAUCUGUCAAAUUGUAGGCAGUAUUUUGUUUUUCCAUGGCAACAAAUGCGGACUCUUCUGACUAUAUGUUUUGUUCAGUUUGUUAUGACCACAUUAGCCAUCCAUUAUAGGGAGGAAAAAAAACAAAAGAUCGAUAAAAUCCUAACCAACAUGAAUUCAUCUUUCCAACACAGAUGGAACAUGCAGGGGCAAAAUUACUGAGAAACUUUCCUUCAUCCAUUAACUUUGCAACAAGCUACCUGCAGAUAUAUCAUUCAAAAGAUUAGCCAGAUAUUUAGUUGGAUAUGAAGGACCAAACACAAAUGUGAUUAAGACCAAAAAAAGAGACAUUCCUUGAUCGCUGACUAAUCAGAUCAUUGGAGUAUCAAGAUAUGGGAAUCAAACUUUAAAAGCACAUAAUUGUCUCGUGAAAGUAACAACUCGACUCAAAACUUUAAUGAAAAUACACAAGACUUGUAUAAUUUAACUUUUUUAAUUUUUUGGAGGAAGAAAAAACUUGCUUGACCUUGCUCUGUUAUGCUUAAAAUAUAGACUUAGAAAAUGUAGAACAUUUUCUAUCAACAUUUUUUGUAUCUAAAACUAAAGGUAGGAUAAUGUAAGUACAGGCUUAAAAAGCUUAUGCCUUUCUUUUUUUACAGUGAGCUAAACGACAGUUGAAACAUAUCAAUUUGCAGUAUUUACCUGUACAGGACACAGAACACAGCAAUGAUCUUUCAGCUGCCCUGAAGAACUCUCUGGGGAUCAAGCUGCCCACUACAGUAACUAGAUGGAACAGCUGAAAGCUCUAGUCUUCCUUUCCAUUCUUCUCCAGGUUUCAAAGUGAUAGCCUUUUCAAUAUUAGCAGCCUCUACACAAAGCAUAUGCUUAUACUCAUCAUCCCCGAAAUCAGCCAUAGCCUUUGCUUUCUUAUCCCAAGGAUUCCACACCACUGGUAAAAAAAAUAUAUAUAAAAGGUUAGACCAACAGCCACUCAAAUUUGAUAGCUUAUAAGCUACGACCUAAUUGUAAUAAAAGGUUUAUGUAAUAAUAAUCUAUCAAUUUCAUACUUCUAAGUGUAGAUUUAUGUAAUAAUAAUCUAUCAAUUUCAUAUUUCUGAUCUGAGUGCCCCAUAGGACUACUGUAUUACAACCCAAGCUCAAACAUCCCCAAUCAAGGCAUCCAAAGGUAUUCAAGUGAGACUUGGAAAAUGUCAUUACUAGCUAAAAACAGAAUUGCUGCAAGGAUAGUCACUUUCCUUGUAUUGUUACUUGGUAUAUCUUAUAACUUUGCAGGAAAAUAUUGGACUGGAAAUUAGAACAAGUACUUGUUCAGUUUUCUGUUAUGAGCUACUAAGAAAUCUGACUUUUCACUCUACCUUAUCUGUUCUUUUAUAUUUACACAUCUAUGAAGUACAGAUUGAUGAAGAUAUGUAAGAUAAUACUGACCAGCAUCAGGAAGGCCAUCUUUCCGCAAAACAAAUGUCCUCUUUUUUUCAUGAUCAAUGAUUGCAAUCUUUGUAGGAGUACUAAGAUAUAUCUUAUCAACCUAUCAUUUCAAGAAAAAGAGAAGGAUCAGCUUAUAAGCAAAAAAAAAAAAACUGAGAAACAUAUUAGCUACACACAUGUGAACAUAAUGAAGUAUUAGAAUUUAGAAAAAUCCAGGUCAGAUACAUGAACUUAACUUUUUUGUGUUAACUUUAGUUAAUGUGAAGACAUGUUUCAUUCAGAUAUAGGUUGGGUAUAACCAAUGCCCAGAUAUGAAGUGGGUGGCAUGGUAUCAAGCAGCACAUAUUGGUCUACGCCUAUUAAAUAGUAAGUAUAGAAUAAAGGGGUAAUAUUGUAAAUUAAACAUUAAAUAUAAGCAAGAAAACUCAGAGGAAAUAUAAAGCCGACGGUGAGGGAGAAUAGGAUGGAGAAGAAGCAAAUGUGAUAUUGUUUCUGAUAAUGAAAAAUAGCAACCAGGGCACACUUUUGGUAUGAAUUCAUCAAUAGCAAAAAUAAAUUUUAAGAACAAUGAAAAAAUGAAAAGCAUUUUCAGGAACUAUAUAUUCUUUCAAUAUUUUACAUAACAAGCGGUUCUCGCUAUUUUUUUUCAAAAAAAGAAGUUAAUUAAAUUUAUUUCAGUCAAAUGAACUUUCUACUAUAAAUUCAUGUCCUAUGUAUAAAACCAGCAUCUCAUAACCUGAAACUAAAUAUAAGGGAAAACCCAGACUUACUUCUGAUUCAAAAGUUAAAGCAUCUCCCUGUUCAGUAAAGCGCUCCUUGUUCUGCAAGUUGUCAAGAUAAUCCAGGGUCUCUAGUCCCUCGACCCGAACUUCACUGAACACAUGCAAAUAAACUAGUUAGGCGCGCUAUCUAAACUCGCAUUAAUACCACAACUAAUUUUUAGAAAGUAAAGCUAAAAAGAACAAGAAAUAUAUGGGGCUAGAUAAAACCAAGAAACAUAUGUAGGUAGGUACCAUAGUUUUUAACUCCACCAACUGAGUUGGGAAAUAAAACUAAACUUAAAUAUUUCACGAAGUACCGAACACAUGACUAAAUUUAACUGAAUAAAAUAACCGAAUUUGCAAGCUACAAAUUUCAUUCAACAAAUUACAGAAGCAUAUUGUUUCAACAUCAGCACACUACAAACGAUACAACUAAACCUUAUCCGACUAAGUGAGGUUUGACCAAAUGCGGACCAAUUAAAGCCCUUGAGCUAUACAAAAAAAAUAAAAAUAAAAAAUUUAAUUUUCAGUCUAGUAAAGCUAUAAACUUGCUCCUGCCCGUGCCACCAUAUUAAAUGUUCCAGCAAUAAUACUUUGAGAUCCUUUCUAUUAUAAAUUCACCUGUGGUUGCAUAUAGAACUUUUCGAUUCACAAUCUAGACAACUACAGCCAAUUGUUAAAUCUUUAGUUACAAAUUCACCAAUUAAUAGUAUAUUAAUUUGAAUUUCAAAAUUAAUGAAAUGUCAUUGGUGAAAGUAGACUAACCAUGGUUGCAAAACAAACAAAAAGCAAGUUGAUAAAUGUAACAACAAUGUACAAAUAAAAUCCAGUUAAAACUAAACAGCAAUGUUGAAGUGAGACAAACAUAUUCAAGCACUUACCUUAUGUCUGAAACCGACAAAUAAGUAUGAUAAGCAAAUGUAAACGAAAAUGGCUUCCCAUCACUGUUUGUGUUCCGAAUCCGAGACGUCAACAUCAAAUCUCCUCCGGGUCCCAAAGCUACCCUCAGACGGUACUCAAAACUACAUGCAAAAAGAAAUGUGUAUAAUAAUCAGAAAGAAACAUGAUGAGUAUACAGCAACUUUAACUAUGAAUGAAGAUAUUAAAGUGAAAGCAGGUAGUAAGAAAAAUUGUAAAAAAUUUCUGAACGUUUUCUAAAGAUACCUGUGAUUCCAGAUCUUCAUGUCUUCUUCAGAGGGUUUAAGAAUCAAAUCAACAAAGGCUUUGCUCAAAUUAUUUGUUGGAAAAGGAGGAGGGUCAUCUUCAAUGGCCCAAACCCGAUUUCUAGCAAAUCCAUGUGAUUCCAAGUUUCCAUGGUUUGCAAACUGCAAAUAGAAAGAAAAAUUCCAUCAACAUGUCAUCUGGAGUGUGAUGAUAACAAACAAACACAAGUUUUGGAACACCAUUUAGAAAUUGUAAUGUUUUUCAGAAAUAUAACAUAUAGAUUUCAUUAAUUAUAUUAAUUUCUAUUGGUUUCGUUGUUUCUUGGGAUAUCAAUAUAAUAGCAGAUAUAGUUUGAUCAAGAGACAGCAGUGAAAUCUAGAAGGAAAAUUCUUAAAAAGAAAAUUUUCAUUAUCUUGGUUUCCUCUGUUUUGUGCGUGUGAUGUGGUGGUUCCUCUGUUUCACUUCCAUGAGGACGAAGACGACUAUAUUGGAUAACUUCCUAGAUAUCUAGAAUUAUUGUUUCUAGAUUUGAUUCAUUUUGAACAUAGUUUAUUUUAUUGAGUUAUUAAUGAACUUAGUUUAAUGUUGUGAUUUAGAGGUGAUUUUCUUUAUCCAUGAUAACUUGUAUGCACAUAUGUAUAAAAUUUUACACACACACAUACACUUUUUCCCUGUUGGUAGGAUCUUACAAUUUGUGUGAUCCUCGAGUUACAAUCUUUCAACCACCUCCCAAUCUUACGUAGACUCUCGAUUAACAUUGUUGCUAACUACUCUAAGUAGAGGCUAGUUAUCUAACUUGGACCUAUGUUGACUACUUGGUCGACUAUGUGCAAGUCUAACUGUGAGUGUGUAAUAUGCCGAGUUCUCAAAAUGGCAGCGAGCUGCGCUCUUUGUAGGGUUGUGUGAUGCAACAAAAUCAAAUCAAGGCAUCAAAUUGAAACUUUUUAUUGCUCCUUACUUGAAUUUGUCUAAAAAUCAAUCAGAAACCAAACCCCAGUUGUAAUGUUUGUAAAAUUCAAGCAGCCACUAAACUAACCCUGAACCCACCCCCACCCCCACCCCUUCUUCAAUAUGACUUAUGCUAUCGAAUUUAAUUUUCUUGCAGGAAUGUAAUAAGCUAGGAUUUAUAUUUGUGGAACAUAUCAAAUUUAAAGUCAGAGCUAAAGUUUUAUGAGUUUAUGAACAAUCAACACUUUAACCUCUCAUCUCUAAGGAAAACAGAAACAGUUAAGAAUUGUCAAAAAAAUAAAUUAAAAAAGAAAUAGUAAGUACAUACUUGUGGAAAGCAGAUUGGAAUCCCUCCACGAAUAGCCUUAGGAGGCUUGAAGAUAGCCUGCACAAGGAACAAGAUAAUAAUCAAACAGACAUUGACCAUAUAUCAAUCAUCUAAUCAACAUGAAAGAUGGAGGUUAAAUUUUUCAAAACCAUAGUCACAAAAAAAAAAAAUAUAUAUAUAUAUAUAUAUAUAUAUUAUUAAAACAUUUACCCUUAAUCCGGAUUAACUGCCAUUGAAGCAAAUAUUAAUAUCAGGAAUUCAUACAUUUUACAUUGUUUUGAAAGCAAGACAGAAACCCUUUCAUUUUGAAGCCAAUUUACUUAGUUAGCUCUGUAGCACCGACACUUCUAAUGGAAUGCGUUUGACACUGAUACAUACAUUCAAUUAAUUCAUUUUUUCAAAUUUGUACUAGUGUCGAUGUUACGAUGCAUCCAUGUCUAUGUCAAUGCUUCAUUGUCGGUUAGAAGAUAAAGUUUGAUAUUAAUAUUCUUAAAAAGCAAAUCAAGAUCUCAAACUACCUAAAGAUCCUGUAAUUAUUCGAAGUCAAAUCACUUCUACAGAUCACUCACUGUAUAAACUGCCACUCACAUAGCAAAAAUGAACUUCACAAACUAAUGAGAUCUAAAUCAUAAUACUAAAUUGCUUUCUACAACUACAGUAUAAAGGUUUUAAAGCGCGUCGAUUACAUUAUCCAGUAAUAUCAAACUUCGCGGCCACAAUUUAGAACUGUGAUCUAAAAAAGAAUACAAUUAACUCUAUUUUUCCUUUUCCUUUUCGAUAGAAAAUUAUCGACAACAAACUCUUACAUUAUCCUUUUCAAUAGAAAAUUUAUCGCCAACUAAAUUAAUGCACCAAUACUAAAAUAUAAAAUCAAAGCAAACACAAUUUCGUAAAUUCCAAAUCACAAACCUUACUACUGAGAAAAAGCAAUUCCUCAGCAUGAUCAUUCUUCCACGAAGUCACAUGUCCACCGUACAGAUAAAUCUACAAAUCACAAACAAAAUGCAUCAAAAAUCAUCAUCAAACAGAAUCAACCAAAAAAACAUAAUCGAUUAUUUUCCUUAUUCUUCUUCCUCCUUCCAAAUUUCACAGUUAAAUUCCAUCAAAAUUAAAAACCAGUGCAUGAGUUAGAUCGAGAAUCUUUCCGUUAAUUAACAACUAUUAAUGAAGCAAAAUCCAAAAAAAAAAACAAGAUCUAAAUCGAAAUAAACCUAACCAGAUCGGAAUCUACAAUAAUUGAAAAGCGAUGAAAGUGAAUCAAGAUUUGAAUUACAUAGAUCAAGAGAAAACGGUUACGAUUAUACCUCAGCGGAAGCACCACGAGAUUCACGAAGAAGAACCUUAUCAAGACCAUUGAUACCUUUUGUUAACGUAAAGGAAGAAGAUGAAGAAAGCUUUUCGUUAUUCAUUGAUGAUGAUGAUGAAACUAAAACCUAAUAGUUGAAGCUCUAUAGGUAUAUUUAUAGUCGUUGUUGUGGAUUAUGAAUGAGAUUAGUGAUUGUGAUGCUAAUUAAUCAUGAUUAUAAAGUGUUUAGUGUCGUUGUUGGAAUAUUCUCACCGCCGUAUGUAUGUGUGUAUGAAUUUUGGUUUCUUGGGCACUUUCUUUGGAUCCUCUCUGUGUGUGAAAUGGGGACUGUACUUCUAACUUUUUCUUUUAACGUUUAAUGAGGAAGCUUCCGCAAAUGAAUAAUUUAAAACUAAUUUAACUUUUCCUUUUUCUUAGAUUUAUUUAUUUUGGUUAAAUAUUGUAGAAAGAAUAGUGUAUUUCAAGGGAUCGUUUGUAAAAUGCAAGCAAAUAUAUUUGGUUCAUGAUAAAAUAAAUUGUAGGUCCUUGGAUUGCUCAAAGACGCAUUGAAAUUUUCAUAUUGUUCCUUUAGUUCUUAACUCUGGAUCACUCUAUUUUAGAAAUUUACUUGUACAGCACGUAGUUUGAGGUACGUUUGGUUUGGGAGUUACGAACUGAACGUAUUGGAGUUAGGACUUGAUUUGUUCUUGCAUGAGAAUCAUAGAGCGUUUUCAAAACCAUGCAAUAACCCAAAUUUUCAACAAUAUGAUUAAUAUUCGCUUACAUUUUCAACAUGGAUGUUGAUUAACAUCCAUUAUUCAUGAUUCAAGCGUAAUCAGACUUAAAAUUCAACAACAAUAAUUCAACAUAAUUAGAGAUGUAACAAUAGAGCAGAAGUGAAGUAGCAUAAACAAAAAUGGCAACACAAUUUAAGCAAUAUAAAUAAAAUUCUGUUGAUAUUUUGUACACUUGCAAUCUAAACAAAUCCACAUGUAUGGAAUUUCAACUAUCGUUAAAAACAUUGAUUGUAUGUUCAAAUCAUUCUUAAGAAUCUUUGGAUAGUAAACUUAGUUUCAUUUGUCGCUAUUAAAAUUUAUAUGCAUGUGUGGGACUUAAACUACAAUAUGAGACACAUUAUGAUUAUCACGAGCUUCAUGAAAGAAAUGGUUAAGUUGUCGGCGGGGCUAAAUACAUUUUAAUUGUAUUCUUUAAGAUUCAAAUUAGACAUGAGUUUUGACUAGAAGCAUGUUUAAUCUCUGUUUGUGUCGGUGCACUUUGACAUAAUGUAAUUGUUAGAAGAAAACGAAAGUUUGUGUGUUAUGAAUUUUGAAAGAAGGUGAAAGAAAUGCAAAUACAUAGCAUUCAGUUUAAUUUGUACCACAUAAAUUGUCGGUUCACUUUGACAUGAACACUCCAACAACAAAAAAUAUUCAAAUCUUUCUCUCACUCCAUAUCGGGAGAGGAUUGUCACGACUGACAUAAGAGUCCAAUGUAUUUUCAUCCCUUGAUUUGCAAUGAGAGAGAAAGAGAAAGAGUGAAAAAAUUAAUUUAAGGGUGGGGAUUUCUCCACUUGAGAAACAUGAGAGAGAGAAAAAAACUAGAGACAAUUAAUUCCCCUCCAUAUCACACUCUACGAACUUAAUAAGAUCAAGUUUUCAAUCUAAGACAACUUAGAAUGAAGAAAAAUGAUUGUAGAUUUAUUUUAUAUUCGCUAUAUUUUAUUUUCCUUUAUUCACUUUUUCUAUCCAGCUUGCAAUCAAAAAAGGUGGAAUUAGAUUCAAUUUCUUUGUAAAAUUAUUAUACUCUAAAAUUUAGAUUCAAUUUUUAAACUAGAGAGACGGUGGAGGGUUAGAUUAUUUUAGUUGAAAUUAAAAUAAAAUAUUGAAGCAAUAGUGUGAAAUUCAAAUUAGAAAGAUUCGGGUACUUGAUUUAAAAUAAAAUAUAGAAUAAUGAUAAAUAUUAUCAUCUAAAAAAUUAUCAUUAUUGUCGCAAAAGAAACAUUGUGAUAACGAAUAGAUUAGACUAUAUAGACGUUUCCAAAGAGCUUAACUCAAUUGGCAGAGACAUUGCAUAAUAUAUGCAGAGGUUAGGGUUCGAACCCCGAACACCCCACUUCUCCACAUUUAAAAUGUGUGAGCUCCAGCCACUAGGCUACCUGACCAAAAAAAUAGAUUAGACUACAUAGACAAAAUGUAAGAAUGAUGCUACACUGUUCCUUCUCAACAGUAGUUCCUUCUCAACAGUAGGAUUUUGAGGUCAUAUGUCUCUCUCAAAUCACAUUUGUUUCCAAUGUCAAUAUCAUUUCAAAACCCUAAGUAACAAUCGCUCCCUUUACAUGUUAAAUUUGAAACUACUUUGAAUUUUUAAUGGUUUAGUUUCUUUUGUCCAAACAACUUUAUCAGUGUCUACAAUUCAUUCCAUCCCCCUUCAACUUUCUAUGACUUUGUAUUUAUUUUUGUUUGUCUAUAUGGCCAAUAAGGUUGCAGGCCAAAUGGGGGUGAAUAACUGUUUGAAAUUGUUUACGGAGUUUUAACGAAAGUGAUUUGAAAUGUUUUGAUACCAUUACUUUUACAUAUGUAUCCAUUAAUUUAAAGUGCUCAAAAUUUCAAUUUAUUUGUGUAUCUGUUAACAAUUUUUUAAUUAAAAAACUGAUGUUUUAUAUAGUAUGAAUAUCUCUAAACAUAUUGCAUGUCUUAACUAUCAUUAUAAAUUUUCUGUGAGAUAUCAUUACUAUACAUAUGUAUCCAUUCUUUUAAAGUACUUGCAAUGUCUGUUGAGGCAAAAAUUCCUAAUUAAUUUUAAAGAUAAUAAACUUUGAUGAUUAAGGAAUUAAUGGACUUUGAUUAUUUUCUUGGUAUUUAAAUUGUGCUCUUGAGUGUUUUACUAAGACAGGAACAAGGUUUAAUUUAUACCAAGAUUCAAGAAAUCAAAGGAUAUUUGGUUUUAUGAACUAACUCUGAGGUCAGAAAGUUAGUUCAGAAUAUUGCUCAGCGAGUUGAUUAGAAUGUUCAAAGAGAGGUCAGAAGGUUGUUCUAAUACAAGCCAGAAAUCUCAAGAACAUACAAGUCAUUUGUGACAUGAACAAAUGUCCAGAAAAGUAUAUUUGCAUCGAUCAAUCAAAGCAAUAAAUUCAUUUAUAAAGUUAAAUGUCAAAAAGGGAUAUUCAAUGUUCAUCAAGACUAUGAACAUUGAAGUGCUAGGAAUAUUCCAACGAGAAUAUCAUUAAAAACUAAUUGCUAAUAUUUGUCAUUAAAAAAUCCUUUAUUUUAAGAACACAACUUUGGUGCAUUUUCCUUACAUGCUUUUUGUAUGGUUCUUCACAUAAUUAAAAUUCAUUUUUUAUGGUUAGAACAAACAAUUUGAAAAAAUUGUGGAUUUAAUAAAUCAUAAGUAGUUGUGAGUAUUUUAUGUGAAGUACCACACGAAACACAUUUAAGAAAAUGCACCUAGAUUUUAUCCUUAUUUUGAUUCUAGCAAGAAACUUUGGUGUAUCUUUUAGGUUCUUUUCAUAUAAUUCCUAAUUAAACUACUCAUGAAAAGUAUUUUUUUUAGUUAAAAAUCAUAUGAAAAACACCUAAAGAAAUUCACAUGAGUUUUGUCCUUAUUUCAAACUAUUUAUUCGUUUCUCAGUUUUCUCUUUCAUUAAAUUUCAUUUUAAAUUAUAUUUUAUUUAGCAUAGAUUGUGUCAAAUUCAAUAGAUAAUUCAUUCAUUUUUUAAUAUUAAAUUGAUAGAGAAAAUUCUAGAUGAUUGUUUGGUUAAAUUAUUAAUUUCAAUCAAUUUCAUAUAUUUAUAAGAAAAUAAUUUUGUUUUCAUACAUGUGCUUAUUAUUUUCAUUCUAAACAUGCACUCUUGAUAAUUUACAACUCAGAUAACCAAGAUUUGUUUAAUUUUUGUUCUAACUUCUAAGUAGUUUUCUUUUUAAAUCGAUAUUUGGUCCAAUUUCAGACUAGUCUGAAGGGUCUAAUCACACCUUCCAUUUGUUGGAUCCAUUUAAAUCCAUAUAUUAGGUAGAUAUUAAUAGUUUAUUUAACAAGUAAUGGGUUAUCCUUCAAAUAAAAAAAGUAAUGGGUUAUAUUUCACCACAAAAAAUUUACUCAAAAUCACCAACAAUCAACGCAGCAAUCUCGUCAACAUCAGAGGUCAUAGUCGUUGACCAACAUUGCAUGACCACUAUACAAAAAAAAAAAUUAGAGAACCACCAAUUUUGAAUCUUGAAUAACCUUCACAGAACCGUGAACCUACCUGAAAUGAGACAAACGAUUGACCAACUCAUUCUCUGUAUCGUAUGUAUAAAGUUGACAGAAUUUUGGCGCCUGUCCGUCGGCUAGGAGAAGACUUCCAAUGCGAUGGUAAUUUUGUCCAGAAAUAACAAAAUGCGGAGAGUCAGGACCCUAGUGGGUGCGUGUCUCAAUCUUACCACCCAUAGAAGUAAAAGAAAACAAAUUAUUAUAUGAUCGAACGUUGGCAAUGAAGUGAGCACUCCUUGGAUCUACACCAUUAAAAAGACCACGAAGCAAAGGCGGAGGUUCUAUCAUAUUGGGCAAAGUGAUUUUCCCCUUCAUACAACAGAUGGAGGCAUCAAUGGUUGGAGUAGAAUGGCGUCUCUGAGAACAUUCUCCUAACCAAACCUGUGCAUUGCAUCUCCGACAAACAGAAUCCAUGUCUCCAAUAUCCAAAUAAUCUUCAAAUGAGAUACACAAUCAACAACUGGAGAUUAAACAAAUCAUCGGUAAAUUAUUAAAACGACUAUCAUGCGGAACCACAAACCUUGGACUUCACCAUGUUGAAAACACUCCAUGGAUAUCAAAGGAAUUGACUCAACAGGGACAGUUGUGGAUGCACCAACAACAUUAGAUGAUUGACAUGUGAACAAAAGAGAAAAAUCAUACAAAGUACACUGUAUUUGACAUCCAAUCUGACAUGGUGAUAUCUCCCUGUAUUUGUUCACUGAUGCUGUUAAUAAAUCUAUGUGUUUUAGUUUGUCUUUCUUUAGUUGUUAUUGCAGUUGUUCAACCUUUGUUCCAUGUUUUUUUUUUGUGAAGUAUUUUCUGUGUUUUAUACCUGAUCCAAAGUUAUUUCAAGAGAUUGAGAUGUUAUUUUCCUGUGAUAAUGUAAGAUUAUUAUUUAUUUACCCAAAACAUUAAAGUCAAUUGCAAUUUUAUCAACUUUUCUUAUUUAUUAUUGAAUUUGUAUUCUAAUAUGUUUUAGAUGAUGGUAUUUUCAUGAUUAAUUUGUUUGGUGAGGGUUUAGUUUUAUUAUUUAAAGGCUUUCACAUCUCUGAUGUGCUUUUCUGAGUUCUGCAGAUUUUGGGACAGUCCAAAUCUAGCAUUUAAUGUUCUUUCUUUUGUCUAUCUUAUUUUGUAUGUUGGUGGCUGCCUAUUAUAUGUGGCCGUAUUUUACCUUAGGUCAACAGCUCUCUAUGAAUAGGACUUUAGUUGGGUAAGUGUACUUUGUCUGGGACAAAGCAUGGAACAAGAUGUUUGUUCUAUUACCUCUGUGCUAGACAAAGUCUUCAACAACAUUGUGGUCAUGUAAAGUAGGACAAACUUCAACAUGAUAGUUGCACUUGUGAUAAACAUUGAGCUCUUUUAACACAAGAUCCAUAACAGUGAUGGUGUCAUAAAGACGCAACACCAUAUUAUAUUUAUAAGUCUAACAAAGAGUGAGAUUAUGUGCAUUCUAAAAAUCUCAACAUGAACAAUGCAGGGGAUUAUUAUGAUUUUGUAAAAACCAUUGUGCUCGUGAUUUUCGGAUAUCAAACCAUUAAUUGAUUUGAAUCGUCAAUCUUUGAACUCUCGAUUUUUAUUCGUGGGAAGGGAAAAAAUGAGUAAAAACCCUUAUCGAGACUUUGGAUUCGGGGGUUGGUUAUGCGAAGGGAAGGUGCUAGCACCCUAAGCAUCUACGGUAUUCCGUAGGAACCUCUUACCUAAUUUAUCUUGUGCUAAAUUGAUUUGCUUACUUGAAAAUUAUUACCUAAAAAUCUAAGUGAAAGAAUGGAGGGAGAAGAAGUAUGUUUUUGGUUAUUUUUAUUUGACUUGGAAGGAUAAAAAAAUCCUAUGCCUACAUACCCUUAAAGAAAAGGGAUCAAAACCAAUGUAGUUCACCUCAAAAAUUUCUUUGGUGGGUUAGGUUGAUUUUAAGAUUUUUGAAAAUGGGUUUUAAGAAAAGAAAGAGGCCUCAAGGCAUGAGAGAAAAAAUAAGGUGAGAUUGUUCACGUUUUAAUUACAAGAAAAUCAAGUCUAAUAUGAAUAUUAAUUCAAUUAAGCAUUUGAUUAAGAAAAUAAAAAGGAAAGACACUUGGGUUACAAACCAAGGUUUAUUAAGAAAAUAUUUUUGGAAUUUUGCAGAUUAUUUGCAUGUUUUUGUUGUUUUUGGAAUAUUAAAUGAAAAUUAAACUAACGGAGCAAUAAAAAAUAUAAGCGCGUGGAUUUUUGUAGUGACGUUGGAUCACCACAAAAUCCCUAAUCUAAUUUUUUGCAUUUUUGGAUAUAUCUAAAGGCGGUAAAGAAAUAAAAGGACACACACACCCACACACUUUUCUCAUUUAUAUUUACAUUGGACCUAAAUACAUUCUAAUUGCUGGAAAAUAAAUAACAAUAACUAAAAUGCUAAAUAAAAUAAAAUAAAAAUGCAAAAAUGCUAAAAAGAAAUAAAAUGCAAGAAAAUAAAAGAAAUGGACAACCGAAGGGACAAAAUUCCGAAGGGACUUUUCCGAAGGGACUUAUUCCGAAGGGACAGAAAAAGGAGGGAGAAGAAAAGAAUAGCUCGUCAACACAAGCUAAAGAGGGAGAAGAGAGAAAAGUUCUUUGACAACUCAAGAGAACUUUUGGUGUGUGCAAUUGUGUGGUAUGAGGGCUCUAUUUAUAGGUGAGGAGGUUGAUGAAAAAAGGAAAAAUGGUUUAAUGGAAAUGAUGGACAAUUAUGGUGAAUUUUGGAAAAGGAAUGUUAAAGUUGACACUUGACUUGAAAUUUUUUUAGACCUUGUACAUUUUAUUUUGGACCUAUUGACACUUUGUUUUUUUCUUUUUACACUAAUUAAUUAAAACGAAAUAAAAUAAAAAUAAAAUAAAUCUAAUACGAAAUAAAAUAAAACAAAUUAAACUAAAUCAUGUAAAGAAAAAUAAAAUUAAAAGAUGGAAAAUAAAAGUUAUUAAAUAUAAAAAAAGUAACUAAUCUUAAAAUUAAAAUUAAUAAAAGAUGGAAAGAAAAUAAAAAGAGAAAAGAGGGUCCGACUCGGAAUCAAAAAUGAGGUACUUCAAAGUAACCUCCUUGCCAAAAUUUCGUCUGAAACGACGAAAAUUCCCGACUUUAAAAAUACGAAUAAAAUGGGUAAGAAUAGAGAAAAGUGGUCAAAAUUUGGGGUAUGACAGAUGCCCCUAUUUAAGUUUCUCCGUCACGGAGAUUUAAAAAAAUGAAAAUUUUAAAUCAACGGGUCGAAGAGACUUAAAUACUAAGUACACCAAUUUUUGACCAGUUGAAAUGCUGAGAAUGCAAUGCUUAUGAAUAUACUGGUAUGAAUGUCUGCGAUGCAAGUAUGAAUGCAAGGAUGACAAAAAUACAUUGACUGGGGAAAAAACUGAUAGAUAUCACUGGGGAGGAAAUAUUAUUUUAUUACCGUUACUGCGGUAAAGACGAACAUACGAAAUGAAAUACUGUCUAUUACCUUUACUAGGGUAACGAACAACAUAGGAAAGGAAAAACCGUCAGUUACCUUUACAGGGGUAACGACCCACAUACGAAACGAAAUACCGUCAAUUACCUUUACUGGGGUAAAAACCAACAUACGAAAAGGAAAGGAAAUAUUGUCAGUUACCUCAACUCGGAUAACGACCAACAUACGGAAAGGAAAUACCGUCAGUUACCUCAACUCGGAUAACGACCAACAUUCAAAAAGGAAAUACCGUCAGUUACCUCAACUCGGAUAACGACCAACAUAAGAAAAGGAAAUACCGUCAGUUACCUCAACAUGGGUAACGACCAACAUACGAUAACAAAAGGAAAUACCGUCAGUUACCUCAACUCGGAUAACGACCCACAUACAAAAAGGAAAUAUCGUCAGUUACCUCAACUCGGAUAACGACCAACAUACCAAAAAGGAAAUACCGUCAGUUACCUCAACUCGGAUAACGACCAACAUUCAAAAAGGAAAUACCGUCAGUUACCUCAACACGGGUAACGACCAACAUACGAUAAGAAAAGGAAAUACCGUCAAUUACCUCAACACGGGUAACGACCAACUUACGAUAAGAAAAUGAAGUACCGUCAAUUACCUCAACACGGGUAACAACCAACUUACGAAAAGGAAAUACUGUCAAUUACCUCAACACGGGUAACGACCAAUAUAAGAAAAGGAAAUACCGUCAGUUACCUCAACUCGGGUAACGACCAACAUACGAUAAGAAAAGGAAAUACCGUCAAUUACCUCAACACGGGUAACGACCAAUAUAAGAAAAGGAAAUACCGUCAGUUACCCCAACUCGGGUAACGACCAACAUACGGAAAGGAAAUACCGUCAGUUACCUCAACACGGAUAACGACCAACAUAGAUAAAAUGCAACAUGCUUUCGGUAUAAGGAUAGCUCACAUAAUGUACUAGGGAGCUGAAAUAUAUUGGUACGAAGACUAUUGGAUGGGACCUGCCCCUUGAAAUAAAUUUGAUUGGUAACAUUUCUGAAUCAGUUACAUUGGGGAUGACACUUUUACGAGAUACACUGGAAUAAGACACUAGGUAAUAAUGCAACCAUGCAUGAAUGAUAUUUGUAUGCAUGCUAUCUAUGCAUGAAUGAAUGAACAGGUACGAGACACAUAUGACAGUACAACGGAAGACUGUUGAGACAAGAUUUGGACAGGUCCUAAAAGGAAAUAGCCCGGCAUUGCAGCACAAACACUCGAGAAUUUUCCACGGGGAUACCAAUACAGGAGGUGAGUCAAACACUGACGGGGUAAAGCCCUCCAUACAAAACAUUAGUGGGGUAAAGCUCCAAAUCAAACCCAUGAUGGGGGCACAACCCAAUAAUCAAACCAAUGGUAGGAAUACAACCCAAUAAUCAAACUGCUGACGGGGAUACGACCCAACAAUCACCCAACUAAUGGGGUAAAAUCCAUAUUCGCACUACUGAUGGGAUACGACCCAUAUCCAAACCAACUUACGGGGUAAAAACCCAUGUUCAAACCAACCGGUAGGGGGCACGCCUUAUAACCAUACCACUGAAGAGGUAACAAAACGUUAAUCCAACCACUAAAUGGGUAACUGCCCACUAAUCAUACCGCUAAAGGGGUAACGGCCCAUCAAUCAUACCGUCGAAGAGGUAACAAACCAUUUACUCAACCACUGAAGGGGUAACUACCCACUAAUCAAAACCAACGGCGGGACCACGCCUUAUAACCAUACCACUGAAGAGAUAACAAAACUUGAUUCAACCACUGAAUGGGCAACUACCCACUAAUCAAAACAAACGGCGGGAUCACACCUUAUAACCAUACCACUGAAGAGAUAACAAAACUUGAUUCAACCACUGAAGGGGCAACUGCCCACUAAUCAGACCGGUAAAGAGGUAACGGCCCACCAAGCAUACCGUCGAAGAGGUAACAAAGGUAACAAACCAUUUACUCAACCACUGAAGGGGUAACUGCCCACUAAUCAAAACCAACGGCGGGAUCACGCCUUAUAACAAUACCACUAAAGAGAUAACAAAACUUGAUUCAACCACUGAAGGGGUAACUGCCCACUAAUCAUACCGCUAAAGGGGUAAACGGCCCAUCAAUUAUACUGCUGAAGAGGUAACAAACUAUUAAUUCAACCACGGAAGAGGUAACAAACCAUUAAUCACACCGCUAAAGGGGUAACGACCCAUCAAUCAUACCGCUGAAGAGGUAACAAACUCCAUAAUCAGACCACUAAAGAGGUAACAUCCCAUUAGGCAGACCUUUGAUGGGAUACGACCCAAUAAACAAACCAUUGAUGGUGAAGUAAUAAUUCCUUGGAGAUAAAGCCCACUGAUCAGAAACCUGGCAGAAGUUGCCAUCAAUCAAAGCAUAGGCAAAAGUCGCCAUUUCUCGGGGUGAAACCCAUCAAUCAAUCAUUAUGGCAGAAGUCGCCAUUUAUUCAAACCACCGGCAGAAAUCACCAUCAAUCAAAGUACAGGCAGAAGUCACCAUUUAAACAAACCAGUGGCAGGAGUUGCCCUCAAUCAAAGCAUAGGCAGGAGUUGCCAACAAUCAAACCCUAGGCAGAAGUCGCCAUUUGUAAAUCAGUACAAAGUGAUUCUUCCAAUCGACCCACUUGUCAAAGCAUAGGCAGGAGUUGCCAACAAUCAAACCAUAGGCAGAAGUAGCCAUUUGUAAAUCAGUACAAAGUGAUUCUUCCAAUCGACCCACUUGAGCUGUGAUGCCUCUGUUUUUUCAUUUCAAAUUUUUUUUUUUUUAAAAUCCCUAACUUUUGCCUGGACCGCCCUUUCGGGUUUUCAAUCCACCGGGAAUAUAUUCUUUUUUUGUAUGCCCCUAAUUUUUGCCUGGACCGCCCUUUCGGGUUUUCAGUCCACCAGGACGCUCAUUUUUUGCUUAAGCGCCCUUUAGGGUUUUCGACUUAGCGAGCUCUUUUUUUUUUUUUUUUUUUUUGUAUUAUUUUUUGACAGAGGUCAUCUCACAUCUUUUGGUCAUACUUACCUUGUAGAGUUUAACUGUACUUGAAACGGAUGUUGAUGUAUGUUUCACCUACUCAUAAAUUCAAAGAAUAUAUACCUGUUGCCUAUGUUAUUCAAAAGACAUGAAAAAGUUUUAAAAGAAAUUAUGUUUCCUUUACAUAUUAACAUCAAACAUAGAAGAAAAUUUGCAAAAUAGAAUAAAUGAGAAUUUCAAAAUAAAUGGGCACAAGCUCAAAUUAAUGUAAAUGGAGUGGUGGCCUGCCAAAGGUGUGGCUCCACGGAUUUUAAAAAGAGUUUGGAAAAUGGUAAUUAUAUGGAAAAGGUACAUUGAACACAAUAACUACUGUUUCCUCUACCAACUUUGAAUUCCACCGUUCUGAGUCUUUGAUUUGCAGGCGCUUCAGAUCGGAAGUCCUUUAACAGCUAAGAUACCCCAGAUGAAUCAUAUCUGAUUUAGUGCAAUUACCUUGCAAUGAGCCGGAGGUCUUUUGACAGCUGAAAUGCCCCAAGUGAGUCAUGUCCGACCAGAUGCAGUUACUUUGUCAUGAUCCUUAACUUUUGCAUAGAUCGCCCUUGCGGGUUUCAACCUAUCAGGAUAAUCAUUUUUUUUUAUAAAUGUCUCUAACUUUUGCAUGGACCGCCCUUUCGGGUUUUCAGUCCAUCGAGACGCUCUUUUUUGCCUAAGCCGCUUUUUCAGGUUUGCGACUUAUCGAGCUUUUUCAUUUUAACAAAGUAUUUCUUGACUGCAUCGGUAUUUACAGGACAUACAAGUUUACCACCAUUCUUUGUAAUUUGGCAUCCAUUUGCCCCUAGAAUUGGGUAACAUAUUUUUAAGCACAAAGCCACUUUCUUGACAUUGACGGGGACGAGCCUUCUUUGCCGAAUACUUGCUUUAUCCUCUUGAUAUAAUUAUCCAGGGCACGCGGCAAUAACACUUUUAAGUUCAAUCAAGCUUAGCUUUCAUUGGAACUUCCGUUGAUAGGACUCUGACCUCCAUGUGGGGCACUGCUUUUAUGUUGAAUACUGAGGGAUGGCGGGGGGGCUGCCCCUGUUGAAAUGUGCAUGAAGUACAAUAUCCCUACAAGGCAGAUGGUAGCAUCUCGUGCCAAUCUUUGUACAUGAAAGUCCUCUUCUGGACAUUCUUUCUUGAUAUUUGCAGCUUCGACGGACAAGAUGCCCCAGUAGGCGAGAAAUCUCAGUGGAAGUUUCUUCAUCAUCCUCUUCUUAAGCCUCAGAUACAAAGAACUCAAGGUCGAGAGAGAGUACAUGGUUAAAGUGUUCAACGGGUUUAUUAAUGCAUGAUUUGAUUAUUGAUAUAAACAUUAUGAUUAUGCAGAUAUGUGGAAAUGAUUAAAGGGAAAGAUUUUUUUUGGUUUUUGUAUUACCAUUUUUCCAGAAAAAAGCACAAAAUAAAAACAAGGUCGGGAUCAAGACGACCUUUCAUUAAUGAUGAAAAUACAUAAAGCAAAAAGCCCUAAACAAAUUCACUCUCGCCUCGGAUGGGACGAAAGGAUUUUUUUUUUUUGGAAAACAUAAAGCAACAAACAAA
rnacentral:lncRNA from 1 species